UGGGGAAUAUUGGACAAUGGGCGCAAGCCUGAUCCAGCAAUGCCGCGUGUGUGAAGAAGGCCUUCGGGUUGUAAAGCACUUUUAUCAGGAGCGAAACGCUGUCGGCUAAUACCCGGCGGAACUGACGGUACCUGAGGAAUAAGCACCGGCUAACUUCGUGCCAGCAGCCGCGGUAAUACGAAGGGUGCAAGCGUUAAUCGGAAUUACUGGGCGUAAAGCGUGCGUAGGCGGUUUCUUAAGUCUGCUGUGAAAUCCCCGGGCUCAACCUGGGAAUGGCAGUGGAUACUGGGAGGCUAGAGUGUGUCAGAGGGUGGUGGAAUUCCCGGUGUAGCGGUGAAAUGCGUAGAGAUCGGGAGGAACAUCAGUGGCGAAGGCGGCCACCUGGGACAACACUGACGCUGAGGCACGAAAGCGUGGGGAGCAAAGCAGGAUUAGAUACCCUGGUAGUCCACGCCCUAAAGCGAUGCGAACUGGAUGUUGGUCUCAACUCGGAGAUCAGUGUC
rnacentral:rRNA from 1 species